UUAACUAUAACAAAAUGUUAAAUUUGAUCCUAAUUACGUUAUUAAUUAAAAAUUAUAAAAUGCACUACAGCAGGGAAUUGCAUUUUCUACUGAACUGAAAGAUAACAUUAAAAGUGUGAAAAAUAUAAAAAAAACUAAAAUUUUUCUCCGGGUUUUUUUUUCUGAUGAAAGCUGAUGAAAUAGUGGGAAAAAAUCCUUAUCAAAAUGAAGAGGUUUUGUUAGAUAUUAACAUUUUUUAAAAUUAUCCCAAAAUUCCAACUUUAAUCUUUUCUCGAUAAAGAAUUGUAAAUUUUACCAUACCUUCUCUCUGACAUUCACUCUAGUCGAGAUUUUGGUUUGACGCCGCUAUAUGAUUUACGUUGGACAUUCGUUAAUUCUCAGCAAGUGAGCACCUGUUAUGCAUAGAUCCACUCGUAAGAUGAAUUAUGAGAACCAUACGUUAUCGACAGAGAUGCU